UAUAAUCAAUCAAUAAAUAGAAAUCUAGGGAAGCCAAAUAGGCUCCUGAUUUUUUAGACUCUGUUUGUCUUAAUUUCACUCAGGUAAACAGCAGUUACGUCAUUCCCAGAGGAGAAAGCAGAUAGUGGAGGGAGCACAGGACUUGUAAUGGAAGACAGAUUUCAAGCCAGCCUUUCCACUUGUGAGCUAUAGAAUUAACUGCAUUUCAGUCUCCCUAAAGACUAUAAGCCUAACUGCUUAGUGAGGAAGAAGAUCCAGCCUACCUGAGGAGAAACUACAUGGAGCAGGGACAAGGCAUGUCUCCUGAAGCCCGUUAGACACCCAGCCCCUCGCUGAGCCAUGCUUUGUGAGUGACCUCAGGGAAGACCAGAAGAAGGACUGCCCAUCUGUGCCUAGCCCAAAUUGGAGGCAAACAAUAGGAUCACUGCUCCAAGUAAUGCCAACUGGGAG
rnacentral:lncRNA from 13 species